rnacentral:rRNA from 1 species
UACGUAGGGUGCAAGCGUUGUCCGGAUUUAUUGGGUUUAAAGGGUGCGUAGGCGGUUUAUUAAGUCAGUGGUUAAAUACUGAGGCUCAACCUUGGUCCGCCAUUGAUACUGGUAAACUUGAGUAUGUUAGAGGAAAUUGGAAUGUGUGGUGUAGCGGUGAAAUGCAUAGAUAUCACACAGAACACCGAUUGCGAAGGCAGAUUUCUAUAACACAACUGACGCUGAGGCACGAAAGCGUGGGGAGCGAACAGG